CGCAAGCCUGGCGGAGCAAGACCGCGUGCGGGAUGACGGCCUAAUGGUUGUAAGCCGCUUUUCUCUGGGAAGAUGAUGACGGUACCAGAGGAAUCAGCCUCGGCUAACUCCGUGCCAGCAGCCGCGGUAAUACGGAGGAGGCAAGCGUUAUCCGGAAUUAUUGGGCGUAAAGCGUCCGUAGGUGGUUAUUCAAGUCUGCUGUCAAAGCGUGGGGCUUAACUCCAUAGAGGCAGUGGAAACUGGAUGACUUGAGUGCGGUAGGGGUCGAGGGAAUUCCCAGUGUAGCGGUGAAAUGCGUAGAUAUUGGGAAGAACACCAGUGGCGAAAGCGCUCGACUGGGCCUGCACUGACACUGAGGGACGAAAGCUAGGGGAGCG
rnacentral:rRNA from 1 species